CGUGACUGACAAAGAUCCGCCGAGGGGUUGUAUAAAUAGAGGAGCUUCGCCUGUGCCACGCAGAGCGGUCUUCACCGCCUUGAUCUCCGGCUGCUCGAGGAUUACUUUCGCCGAAACAAAAUGAAGUUUACACACUACUUGGCUGUGAUUGUUCUGGUGGUGCUGGUUGUGGGAAUGACAGUUGCCGACCCCACACCUGAGGCUUUAGCUAAUCCUGAGCCUUCAAAGAAACUUAAAUUAAAGAAAUUAAAGAAAGUUGGUGCUUUACUGAAGCUCCACUUCUUCAAAGGGCGUGGAAGGGGACGCCAGCGUGCAAGGGGACACCAGCGUCAGCGUGGUCAUGGCGACUGGUGAAGGGCAAGCAAGGAUGGCGAGGACUUGCAACAUAACGACAGACAAGUGGCCAAAGAACUCUGCACUUCUGAACGCUCUCCCAUACUAUCUCCCCUUCAGCGCCCGUUGUCCCUCCCGUCCGACCAUGACGCUACGAAUAAAUUAACCUUGCACUGAGCACUUAUGAGCCUAUUGGGUUCACAUAACGAGUUCUGUGAAAGGGACUGGUCGUGUACACCAGGUGGAAGCAUGCCACGCGGAACCUAUGAAUAAAUCUAAGUGCCUUCUUGUUUCCAUGUCCUUCAGCCAUUCGCAUCUCAUUUGUGAUGUUUAUAUAGCAUAGGGUCCAUUACAGCUUAAUACUUCAUACUACUCUUUAUAGCGAGUAGUACAUUUAACAGUGUUAUGGUAUAAACAUCAGAGCAAAUAAAA